UACGUAGGUGGCGAGCGUUGUCCGGAUUUAUUGGGUUUAAAGGGUGCGUAGGCGGCCCUAUAAGUCAGUGGUGAAAUAUCGCAGCUUAACUGUGAGGGUGCCAUUGAUACUGUAGGGCUUGAGUGAAUUUGAGGUAGGCGGAAUUGGCGGUGUAGCGGUGAAAUGCUUAGAUAUCGUCAAGAACACCGAUAGUGAAGACAGCUUACCAAGCUUCAACUGACGCUGAGGCACGAAAGUGUGGGGAUCAAACAGG
rnacentral:rRNA from 1 species